GUUGUUGCGGGAUCUCACAGGCUUUAAACCGCGGCGCCGCGGCGCCCGGGUGUGGAUCCCUAGAUGGGAGCCGGGGAUGGGCCGGGUGCCUGGUGGGUGGCAGUCGGGGCUGACGGCGGCGGCACUUUGCCGCCUCAGGCCCUGGACACCUUCACCCCGCCGCCUGCCCAGGCGGGCCGGCCCUGCCCGUCCACCGGCCGCCGAGAGUCCCCGGCCUUGGGUCCCCGGGGCCGCUGACUGGCCUCGGUCACCUCCCGGGGAAGGCUCCCGCGCCUCCAUCUGCCCCCGCAGGAAGGGACCCUCUUCUCGCCCGCGAGGCUUCUCCGGGUGGGAUCGUCCUGGCCCCCAGCCCUAAGGGAUCCGCCCCCUCCGAGCAUCCGCCGCCCCUCGGAGACCACUCCAGCUCGGACGGACCCACUCCAGCCCCCGCUGCACGCGGAAGCGCUCAUCCUCCCCGCCUGCCCCGUUCCCUCCCCCUUCUCCUGUGGGACAACCAGGGACCGCAGCUCCCCGCUCCCCAGGUGUGGGGGCUCCGACACGAACGCCUCUGCUCGCAGGGCGGUGAGCGCAGAUCCCACGGGUCCCUCGGUCGGGGGUCGAGGCUGCUUCCGUUUCCAUCCCGGACCCGACAAUGGGCGGGAAAAAGAAGGCUUUACACGACUACGCGGCGGAGUUCACCGACCUGGUGGUGAAGCACCUGAUUGAGCACAGUGACUCUGGGGACACGUCUGUGGUGGAGACCCUUUACUGCAGGGCCUGCGAGCUGCCCGUGCGCGUGCGGAGGGACCGCAUCCUGGAACACCUGUCCUCGGGCAGGCAGCACGGCCUGCGGACGCCCAUUCUCAUGUAAAUGUCAGUGCCAACGCUGGUGUUUCAGGAGUCAUCCCAGCGGGCUGCGGGCUAUUUUAGGAUUCUCUGCCCUGCAAACGUUUCCAAAGUACGUGGACAGGCCGCCUGAUGACACUACGUUUACGGGAUCUGCUAGUGGCUUGCCUACUUAGGGAGUAAACCCUGUGAAGUCUCGCAGUUUUGUUAAAGUGUGCGUGGCCACCUGAAUGCUGCCUUAUCACAAGCCAGAUACAUACUGGUCUGUAGGGUAACUCCCCACUGUUGAUCCUCUGAGAUGAUUGUGGACUGGGUGCUGUGAGUCCUGCCACUUUGUUUAAGUGAAUGUGUCUUUUGUCCAGCUCAGCCGCCUCGGAUCUCGCUGCCACCAGCCUUACUGCACACCCGUGCCACCCGCCCUUGCCCCGUCAGCCUCAGCCUCAGCUCAUUCUCUCAGGCAGUCCCAGCAUUGGCACGGUACCUCCUCCCGCUGUGGGCCACACGUCUCUGCUCCCUGUCAACCCUCCUGCCAUCAGCACCACCACCAGCGACUUGUCUGCCCGGGAGGAUGCAACACCAUCUGCCUCCACCGGCCACCUUUCAGUGUUUCCUGCUUUCCAAGUAAAGAUACCAGCAGUGCCCUCAGAGCAGACCAGCCAGAGUUUUUCUGAAGCCUCCCACAGGGUGCUCCCCGGAGGAGGCCCGAGAUGCUCUCGUGACUUUGGAGCCGGGGUGGCUGGCCACCUUGGCCUGGGCAUCUUUGGGGUGGGCUUCGGGAGCCCGGCACUGCUGCAGAGUGUGGUGGAUGAGAACAGCUGCUGCUUGCUGUACGUGGUGGAGGACCAGCUGUGUGAUGUGGAGCAAGCCUUCAGAGCUGAGCAUUUGGGCCAACACCAGAGUGGUUCGGGAACAGGAUGCAGACAUUGUCCUCAACGACCAGCGGCACUUUGAUCCGGUUUUCCAGUUCUUGCACAAGCAAGUUUGUGUCAGCCACGCCCUGGGGAGGAUCCACUGGAUCACCGCCGUCACUGCCUGUUCCCGGCGGCCUCUCCGGCUUCCCUAAAGAGAGCAGGUGGGACUUUCUACAACGCUGCUGUGCACGACGUGGAUGCCGUAUGCAUGUUGCUGGGGGAAGCCACUCCGGACACUGUGUUUUCUCUGGGACAUGUCUUCUGCCCAGAUAUGGCCGCCUUAAAAGAUGCAGAUGCUGUUGUGAUCAGCAUGAAGUUUCCCUGUGAGGCCGUGGUUAGCGUGGACAUCAGCCAGCACUGCACAGACAGCUGCGACCAGGACGUCAGCCAGCACUGCACAGACAGCUGCGACCAGAGACUGGAGGGAAAUAACCUCCUGAAAUCACCAAAGAGCAGUUCCUCAGGGCCUUCCGGGUGACCGUGGCCGUGGAGCAGUCGUGGUGAAACCGGUCAGCUGUGGACCUGCCCUGCGAAUCGGCAGAGGCCUCCGUGGUGAAGACAGAAGCUCCGUGAACCAACUCGAGGCUGGAGCCAAGAUCCUGCCUGAUAUCCAGUUGCCUGUUUCACUUGUUACUGUUACUGGGAGAGGGAGACAAAACCUCAUGGCAAUCUUGUCCUCACUGGAGACUCAGAAGGGGAAGCAUUGGGAAACCAUGUAUGUUUCAUUUCUGGUUUAACCAGGCUUUUCAGGAUGGGACUUCAGACCAAGGACACAAGUUGGGCUUGCUUAGGUGUUUUGUGUUGUGCGCAGGCCUCAGAGAUGCUCUUCCGGUCAGAGUUCCCUUGGCAGGGCCUUGGAGGCCUCUGGUUGGCUCUCUCAGGAAGAGGGCAGGUCAGGGAUUGGGCGGUGUAAAUUGACUCAGAAACCUGCGGUUUCAGCUUUUCUGUGGCAAACAGGGCCGAGGGCUGGUGAAGCUGUUAAGGCUAAAUGUCGCAUGCAUGAGGCGGGCUGCAGGCCUCCUUAGGCCUUUUUUGGGGUAAUUACACCAGUAUUUAAAAACAUUUUUUUUUGUUUGUUUUGAGAUGGAGUCUUGCCCUGUCACCCAGGCUGGAGUGCAAUGGUGCGAUCUCGGCUCACUGCAACCUCCGUCUCCCAGGUUCAAGCGAUUCUUCUGCCUCAGCCUUCUGAGUAGCUGGGAUUACACGCGUGUGCCACCACGCUCGGCUAAUUUUUGUAUUUUUAGUAGAGAUGGGAUUUCACCAUGUUGGCCAGGCUGGUCUCGAACUACUGACCUCGUGAUCCACCUGCCAUGGCCUCCCAAAGUGCUGGGAUUACAGGCGUGAGCCACCAUGCUCGGCCUAAAAAACAAUUUUCUUGAAGAAUCCGAUUUUGUGCAUAGUAAUGACACAGCACCAUUCCUGAGAAAUAGGAAAUAUAUGUGUGUGGUAUGAAAAGCCCAUAUUCUGUUCUUGUCACCUGAAUCUAGGCUUCCUCUUUGGAUGUGAACGCGGGAAUGAACAGUGGCUGUUUUCCACCCAAAGGGGCGUGGAGACCUUUUGGAAACGGGCUUUCUCCUUUCCAUUUUGCAGCCGGGGGCGGGUGGAAACCUUCCUUCGAAGGGUAGUGCCUUGGGGAGCAGCAGACCUGCUCUGAGUCCAGCUUAGCUUUCCAAAAUUCUGUGUGGAACUUACUGGAGAUGUUUUUAUAUAUUUGAAAAUAAUGGCCUGUAUUUCUCACGCUAUACUUAAAAAAAAUAACUAACCUUUUAAACAAAGAUAUUCAAACUCA
ensembl:lncRNA GFOD3P Gfo/Idh/MocA-like oxidoreductase domain containing 3, pseudogene